CCCUGCCUCUCUGAAGCAGACGUUUAACUGCGUUCAUAUAAUUCAAUUAGAUUCCGCAGUCGUGGUCCAAAGGCACUCUCCCGGCUUUCAUCUCAGUAAUGGCCUGCAGGCUGGAGCAGGACACAGGGGGUUAAAAAGUGGGGCUCAGAACCUGCCUUUUGGCCUGACUCACUCCAUCACCCCAAGGGCCCUCCAAAUGAGUUUCCUGGGGCAGUGCCUUUAUCACUGGAGCACACUCACGGAUGGACUUCCCGGCCCCGGGAUUCUCACUCGGAGACCUCUCAUGCGCUCUCGACCCAGCACGGGCCCCGUGCCCCUUCUCCCGCUCCAUCCCCGCCUUGUCCAAUGGGGCAGCACACCACGGACCCCGACUCCACACAGCCAGCCCCAUUAAUAAAGAGUUAAGAAAAUUCAUUAGGAAGUAGGUCUUUUAUAGAUUCCAUUAAAGCCUUCUUCCUACUUCUGUCACUGAGAAAGGAUAAAAAUCCUUUUAUCACUCUACAACUUGUUAAUGUCCCACCCCGGGAGCGUUUCAUCUGCAAUAAACAUCUUCACAAAAUAUGCAUCCCCAGGGAGGAGCCGUUAAUUUCCUCAAGGCCUCACACAUGUAAGGGAUUUUAUUGCCUGCAGGUGCUUCAUGAUAUUGUGUGAGCUUCUAAUAAACGUCCAGUAAACCGCAGGUAGCGCCUCGGAGAGAGAUGGGCCCAUGCACCUGUCCACAAAGGGCCUCCACGCACCGCGCCUUCACCUUCUGUGGCCCAGCCCUGGCACGGUCAGCUCCUGAGCCCAGCCUGCCCCUCGGGACGCCCGCAGGGAUGGCGUGUGGUGGGGAAGCCACCCUGGAGCAGCUUCAUGCUCCCGUCCGAAAGAGCUCCUUCAGCAGCUCGCGGCUGAGCCACACGACGCCUCUGCUGGGAGGCAGGAAGUUGCAUAUUCCUGCCCGUGUACCCGGCAGAACGUUCUUUCCACGUCCUACCAUUGACAAAUCCUCUUGGACUUCCUGGUCACUUCAUGAUGACAGCGUGCAGAGGGAGAGCAGGUAAUCAAAGGACGGCCAUGAUGAGGGCGAGGGGUUUUUCCUCCCAAAUUUGUAUGAUGAAAAUAUCCAAACAUACAGAAGAGUUGAAGGAAGAACAAGGAACACUCUCAGAGCCCAUCCUAGAGCUGACGCGUAACCAUGUCACACGCUUGCUUUAUCUGUCUGUGUAGAUACAUCUCUAGAGCUAUGUAUUUUUUGCCGUAAGUUUGAAAGUAAGUUCCAGGCAUCAUCCCUAAAUACUUUCGUGUGCUUUUCUAAGAAUGAGGAUAUUCUCUAACCACAACACCAUUAUCAUCUGAAGAAAAUUAACAGUGAUUUGAGACGGAGGGAUUUUGGGAAUUAGUCAAGGCGUAAGCGUUGAGACCUUCGUUAGAUGAGGAGGUACUGUGUUGUAUUACUGUUCGCAAAGCUUCCUUUGAGCUUGGUCCCCCUGCGGGGCAGCUGGAGAAAGAUGGAAUGACACUCCCAUUCCAAAGUUUGAGAUCUCCAGGGGAGCAGAGCACCACGCUAGUAGGGUAGGUGCUUGGGAUGUGCACAGGGAACACGUCCCAGGCCAGAGGCCACCCCUGGGUCCCCCUUCAUGCUCCUGGGCAUAGAGGCUCCUGUUUUCCCAGUUCUGCCCCGUCCAGAGGAGAGGGGGGUGGAGCUUGGCAGGCAGAUUGGAUCUGGGCUGAAUCUCUGUGAGACCUGGGCUGAUUGGGCUUCCCCGCGACCAAGUCCUCAGCUCCCCUUGGGGUCACGGAAGCUAAGCUUGGGUGGGGAGAUGUGGGGCCUUCCCAGGUGCUGAGCAACCCUUUUCUUUACCCUGUGGAGGGGACCUGGAGACAGGGACAGUGGAGGGGUUCAAGUGCCAAAAUCUCCCCAUCUCGACCCAGGGCUGAGAUGGGUCCCUGGAUCUUCCAGCUAUGAUGUCCCCAAGAAUCUGCAAAAUCUCCCACGACUCCUUCUGAUGGGGGGUGUGCGUUGGGGCGUGCCCAGGUGAGAGCUGCAGAUGGAGGCUGUGGGGUGACUGCAUUUAUCUGUGGGUGUGACCGAGCAUCUCACAGGUCCAGGAGGGUGGUCCUCAUAUGUGCACAGAGACUGGAGGGGCGAGGGUGCAUUUUGGUGCAUGUAUGGAUGUCCCAAGAGCAGAUCUGGGGUGUUCUCAUGUCAGAAUGUGGGUCUGUGCUCUGUGUAAUGUUAGAAAUAGGGCUUUGGGAACAGAAUAUUAUUCAGCCUUAAAAAGGGGCAAAAUUACAACACAUGCUACAACACGGUGAACCUGGAGGAUGUUAUACUAAGUGAAAUAAGCCAGUUACAAAAAGACAAUGCAGAAUGAAUCCAGUUAUAUGAGGCAUCUAGAGAAGUCAAGUUUAUAGAGGCAGAAAAUGGAAUGGAGAUUGCCAAGGGCUGGGGGACGGAGGAGUGGGGCGUUCUUACGUAGUGGGGACAGAGUUUCGGUUUUGCAAGAUGAAAUGAGUUCUAGAAAUGAAUGGGGUGAUGAUUGUACAACAACGUGAAGGUACUUAAUGCUACCAAACUGUACUUUUAGAUAUGGUUAAGUGGGUGAAUGUUGCAUGAUCUGUAUUUUGCCACAGUGAGAAAAAAAAAGUGGGGUUCUGGUGGCCGUGACUGGCUGCCUUGUAAGGUUUCCUGUUUCUGAAUGAUGGUGACACCCACCCCGUCCCCAUGUGACCUGCUUGCUCACUACUGUUUACCAGGAAAGCCAGAAUAUUGUCACUAGGAGAGAAUGUUGUCAAUCAGAGGAAAUCUAACAGAGCCAGGGAGAUGCUUUGGGGAUCAUACAAGUCUCAAACCCAAGACCCGUUUCUGGAAAUGCUACCGUGUUCCAAGCAGAUCUCACCAGCUAGGAAUGGAAACAGAGGCAUUCUGUCAAAGGAAAGAACUUGAUGAGAAAUUAUUUUAUGAAAGCCAAAUUUUGGCAUGUUUUCACAUUUUAGUUUGUCAGAACACAGAGUAAUAAAUGUUAAACAUGUUGUUUAUUAUUAUGCUCGGUUGAUUUCUUUAUGAUGACAAUUUUAUUUUUCAAGUUUGUCCUCGAGUGACUGCAGGAUUCCAGAACAGAACGGGAGAGAUGUUUUACAGUUUAUCCCAGCAGGACCACUGGGAGAACAGUUUUUAUUUAAAAAAAAAAAAAAA
rnacentral:lncRNA from 10 species